AGUCUGCAACAAAUGGAGAAAAAACAAAGGAGGCCAAAGGAUUUAGAGUGCUUAAAAGCAUAGCUAAGUUGUCAGGUCUGCUACAUCCCUUUGAUGGCAUCACUGACAAUUAGCAAGACGAUGCCACACAAAACCAUCUGGACAGGCACAUCUCGCGUUGCUGAGGGAGACAGUUUCUGGUGUGACAAAAAUAAAUCUCAAGGGUGCUUUGGACGAGUACGCAAUGACUGCAUAGGAAAAUACAAGAUGUCACGGAGCUCUACAGUGGCUGAGUGGCCGGAAUAUUCCUCGUACAUCAAUUAGCUGGCGCAGUGUGCAUCCACAUAAACUCCUCCAAGUACACUCCUGCUUUUUUUAUCCUAAGCGCCCUCAAUCCUUGGAUAGCUCUGAGAUGUGGUGAUUGAAGACACUGUUAGCUGAACUCCCCAAGUGUGCCGCGGGAGCUUUGUUGUGCAGCCUGUCCCCGGUUCCUCCUGAGAGGGGAGGCAGGUGUAGGCUGACGCAGGUUUGAUCACCUUGGUGAAUGUGGACCUAAG